GCGCUAUAGCUUAGUGGUAGAGCGUUGCACUAGUAAUGCAAAGGUCAUGAGUUCA
rnacentral:tRNA from 1 species